AGGAUGAACAUUGGUAGUACGCCUAAUGCAUGCAAGUCGAGCGGAACGUAGUAAUAUGUUCAGCGGCGAACGGGUGAGUAAUGCUUAUCUUACUUACCAAUUAGUGGGGGAUACACUAAAAGAAAUUUUAAACUAAUACCGCAUAUUAUCAAAUUAAUUUUAUUAAAAUGAUGAAAGGGACUUUUGUUUCGCUAAUUGAUAGGGAUAAGUUGUAUUAGCUUGUUGGUGGGGUAAUGGCCUACCAAGGCAAUGAUGCAUAGCCAGCUUUAGCGAGUGUUUGGCCACAUUGGGACUGAGACAAGGCCCAAACUCCUCCGGGAGGCAGCAGCAGGGAAUUUUUCGCAAUGGGGGAAACCCUGACGAAGCGAUACUACGUGAAGGAAGAAGGUCUAUGGAUCGUAAACUUCUGUCAGUGUAAAAGAAAAGUGAGUGAAAACUCAUCAUUGACUUAACACUAAGAAAGUCACGACUAACUACGUGCCAGCAGCCGC
rnacentral:rRNA from 1 species